rnacentral:rRNA from 1 species
UCGAACGCGAAAAGGGCUUCGGCUCUUAGUAGAGUGGCGAACGGGUGAGUAACACGUGGGUGACCUACCUUCGAAUGGGGGAUAACGUCCCGAAAGGGACGCUAAUACCGCAUAACAUCCUGCUUUUGAACAGGUGGAGAUCAAAGCCGGGGAUCGCAAGACCUGGCGUUUGAAGAGGGGCCCGCGUCUGAUUAGCUAGUUGGUGAGGUAACGGCCCACCAAGGCGACGAUCAGUAUCCGGCCUGAGAGGGCGGACGGACACACUGGGACUGAGACACGGCCCAGACUCCUACGGGAGGCAGCAGUGGGGAAUUGUUCGCAAUGGGCGCAAGCCUGACGACGCAACGCCGCGUGGAGGAUGAAGGUCUUCGGAUUGUAAACUCCUGUUGCUCGGGACGAAAAGCUUCGACCUAACACGUCGAAGUCUGACGGUACCGGGUGAGGAAGCCCCGGCUAACUCUGUGCCAGCAGCCGCGGUAAUACAGAGGGGGCAAGCGUUGUUCGGAAUUACUGGGCGUAAAGGGCGCGUAGGCGGCCCGCUAAGUCGAACGUGAAAUCCCCGGGCUCAACCCGGGAACUGCGUCCGAUACUGGCAGGCUUGAAUCCGGGAGAGGGAUGCGGAAUUCCAGGUGUAGCGGUGAAAUGCGUAGAUAUCUGGAGGAACACCGGUGGCGAAGGCGGCAUCCUGGACCGGCAUUGACGCUGAGGCGCGAAAGCCAGGGGAGCAAACGGGAUUAGAUACCCCGGUAGUCCUGGCCCUAACGAUGAAUGCUUGGGUGUGGCGGGUAU